GCCAAAUAGCUCAGUUGGGAGAGCGUUAGACAUAGACCGAAAGGUCCCUGGUUCGAUCCCGGGAUUCGGCA
rnacentral:tRNA from 1 species